GGAGGGGUGGCCGAGUGGCUGAAGGCGGCGGUUUGCUAAACCGUUAUACGGGUAAUACCUGUAUCGUGGGUUCGAAUCCCAUCUCCUCCGCCA
rnacentral:tRNA from 1 species